GCUUCUGCUUGGCACGAGGAGGCGGCCCCUGUUUCCCGCUGCGGCAGUGCCCGGCUCAGAAUGGGGAGGGGGCGUGGCGCAUCUUCAGAGCAAACUCCGGCGGACUUGACCUUCUCCCGCUACCAAGGUGUGGGGCCCUCGGAGGCUGAGGGGUGAGCGGACAGCCACGGUCUCUGUCUCCUUGACCAUUGCUUUUCAAGCCGCCGACGGCUAGGACGCCAGGUCUCAGUCGGCUGGUGUUGGAGGCCCCUCUCUAGAUGGAUCCGCAGUGCUGUGUCCCAGUCUCGGCGUCGCGCGGAGCCUCAGGACUCCUGGGUCCCCGUCCUGGCUGCCGGAGCCGGUCCCCGGUGGGCGCACGGACAGAAGGAUGGUGCCGAGCGCCUCUCACCGGUUCCGACCUCCCGCCCGGCCCCCACGCUGCGCCGCAUCCGGCAGGCUGAUGCACUGGAGGAGGAGACCAGAAAAGGAGAUUGGAAUGAGGGGCCUCUCCCCCGGGUAGCCUCCCUGGCCUUGCCCGGACCAGCACCCCUUGGCCUCAGAGUCUGGGCGAGGGCGUCUUCCGCCCCCACGUGUCGCCUCUGCUGACUCGAAGCGCGAGCUGCUAGCCAGCCCUAGUUCCCGAGAGGCCAAGGACCGGGGGCCGCAGGCGGUAGCGGCCGGGAGAUCACGACCCCGGGGGGGUCCAUCUCUUGCACCCAGGCUUGGCUGCCUCAGUGGGCUCCAGAGAUCUUGCGCCAGCAGGGCUCAGCGCAGGGUGCUUUCCCCCACCCCUUGCAGACCAGCCACCGGCUUCCUAGCAAACCGCCGGGGGCGCCUGCAAGAGACCGAGCCUUUCAGUGGGCGCUGGCGCCGCGCUCGGGUCUCACCUCCCGGGGAGUGCCCCCUCGGCGCCGCUCUGUCAGGACUGUGCUUCAGGUCCUCUCCUCGCAGCAGUUCUGCCCUGCAGAGCGAGGCGGGGAGCAGAGGUCCUCGCCGGGCUCUGCCUCGCCUGGUCCGCGCGCUCCGGCGCUGCAACAGGUGGAGCCGAGGCAGCGGCGGUGGCGACUCUACCCGGCCUCUCGCCUCCCCGCCGCGCGGGGCGGCUCCCAGCACUAGUCUCCGCCUACUGAUGCCGGCUCUCGGCUGGGCCACCGGGGGCUGCGGCGCUCCUAUCUCAGCGCUGGACCGGCAGAUUCCGGGAGUGGGUGCUGAAGUGGAGGGUCAGGUGCUUAGCGGGCCUGUGUGGGCCCCUCCAGGGCCAGAAGAGGGCGCUCUGUCCCCUUCAGACACGUCUCUACCCCACCUGCGCACCCGGCCACACACUGCCCCUCCGGAAUUACCAGCCCCUGGCAUGUGGGAGUGAAUAUGAAUGCAGGAAGAAUAGAUGCGUGGGCAUCUUGGAACUAAGUAGAAUCCCCCCCCCCACUUCCCGAGAGAGAAAUCCCAGCCUCAGAGCCCACCCACCUAAUACUCCCCAGGAGCAGAGAAUAAAGAAACACACACUUCCGGAUUCCAAUACAUCUGCCAUCAGAAGCCUUGUUGCUGCUAGUAUUCCUCUCCCACUCCUCUCCCGUUAUCCACCUCCGAAAUGUCCCUCGUUUAUCUAGCCUAUCGAGGGCAAGAGCUUUAGAGGGUAGCGCUUACAGGAGGAGCUUGUGUAUACACUCAGGGUGAGCCCUGCAAUUACUCCUCCACCUCAUUUUACCAUGAAAAAUUUCAAGCAUAAAGUUGAAAGAAUUUUACAGUGAGUAGCCAUAUACUCAACAUUUUACUGUACCUGUUUUAUUACAUAUCUAUUCAUCCCUCUUUCUAUCCCUCAACUCACCUUGUUUGGGUGCAUUUCAAAGUAAGUUGCAGGAGUUCCCCGUUGUGGCUCAGUGGAAACGGAUCUGACUAGCAUCCAUGAGGAUGCAGGUUCGAUCCCUGGCCUCGCUCAUUGGUUAAGGAUAUGGCAUUGCCGUGAGCUGUGGUGUAGGUUGAAGGCACUGCUCGGAUCCCAAGUUGCUGUGGCUGUGGUGUAGGCCGGCAGCUACACAACUCCUAUUGGACCCCUAGCAGGGGAACCUCCAUAUGCGGCAGGAGUGGCCCUACAAAGACAAAACAAACAAACAAACAAACAAACAAAAACAGUUGCAGACAUCAGUACUAUCCCUUCCCACACCCCUGUUCUUCCUGCAUAUAAUUAACUAGGGUUCAGUACAGCCCUAUUUACUUACAUUUUCUUUUCUUUAGGGGUAAAAUUUACAUAGAGCGAAAUGCACAGAUCUUAAGUGUACUAUUAGAAGAGUUCUGGUAAAUGCAUACAUACACUUUUGCAAAUUAAACACCUACCUAUCCAACCUAUCAACCAAAUAUCAUCAAGUGCAUAUCCACAUGUCCCUUCGCAGCAAAUCCCCAACCACUCUCCUCCAGAGGAAGUCACUCUUCUGAAUUUUUCUACCACCGGCUAGUUUUCCCUUUAUAGAACUUAGUUUUGCUUGUUCUAGAUCUUCGUAUAAAUGGAAUCAUUACACAGUUAUGUAUUCUUUUGUGUAAAGCAGUUUCUGAGAUAUCUCCAUGUUGUAUGUCUCAGUAAUUUGUUCCUUUUUACUGCUAGUUUUUUUGUUUGAAUAUUCAUUCUCUUAUUGAUAGAAACCAGGGCUGUUAGAAAUUUUUGACUAUCACAAAUACAACUGUUAGGAACAUUCUUGCACAAGUGUUUGUGGAUAUAUGUUUUCAUGCUUCUUGGGUAAAAAUACCUAAGAGUGGAAUUGUUGGGUCAUAGGGGUGGUAUGUAUUUAAUUUUAUAAGCAACUGCCUAACAUUUUUCCAAAGUAGCUGUUCUAACCUACAAAGUGUAGGCUUUGGAUGUCCUACAUUUGGCAGUAUCAGUCAUUUUAACUUUAAACAUACUGGUGGAUGGGUAGUGGUAUCUCAUUAUAGUUUAAUUUGCAUUUCCCUGAUGAUUAAUGUGCUUGUUGGCCAUUCAUAUACCUUUUAAAAUUAUUUGUUGAAAUAUUGUAAAAUUUCUCUUGAAUUUCCAUUAAAAAUUGGUUUCUCUUUUU
rnacentral:lncRNA from 1 species